CAGCCGCCGCGGGAAUACGAAGGGGGCUAGCGCUGUUCGGAAUCACUGGGCGUAAAGCGCACGUAGGCGGACUUUUAAGUCAGGGGUGAAAUCCCAAGGCUCAACCUUGGAACUGCCUUUGAUACUGGAAGUCUUGAGUUCGGGAGAGGUGAGUGGAACUGCGAGUGUAGAGGUGAAAUUCGUAGAUAUUCGCAAGAACACCAGUGGCGAAGGCGGCUCACUGGCCCGAUACUGACGCUGAGGUGCGAAAGCGUGGGGAGCAAACAGGAUUAGAUACCCGAGUAGUCCCUGUCUCUUAUAA
rnacentral:rRNA from 1 species